ACGCUGGCGGCAGGCCUAACACAUGCAAGUCGAGCGGAAACGACACUAACCAUCCUUCGGGUGCGUUAAUGGGCGUCGAGCGGCGGACGGGUGAGUAAUGCCUAGGAAAUUGCCUUGAUGUGGGGGAUAACCAUUGGAAACGAUGGCUAAUACCGCAUAAUGCCUACGGGCCAAAGAGGGGGACCUUCGGGCCUCUCGCGUCAAGAUAUGCCUAGGUGGGAUUAGCUAGUUGGUGAGGUAAUGGCUCACCAAGGCGACGAUCCCUAGCUGGUCUGAGAGGAUGAUCAGCCACACUGGAACUGAGACACGGUCCAGACUCCUACGGGAGGCAGCAGUGGGGAAUAUUGCACAAUGGGCGAAAGCCUGAUGCAGCCAUGCCGCGUGUAUGAAGAAGGCCUUCGGGUUGUAAAGUACUUUCAGUUGUGAGGAAGGGGGURKWGUUAAUAGCKSYAUCUCUUGACGUUAGCAACAGAAGAAGCACCGGCUAACUCCGUGCCAGCAGCCGCGGUAAUACGGAGGGUGCGAGCGUUAAUCGGAAUUACUGGGCGUAAAGCGCAUGCAGGUGGUUCAUUAAGUCAGAUGUGAAAGCCCGGGGCUCAACCUCGGAACUGCAUUUGAAACUGGUGAACUAGAGUACUGUAGAGGGGGGUAGAAUUUCAGGUGUAGCGGUGAAAUGCGUAGAGAUCUGAAGGAAUACCAGUGGCGAAGGCGGCCCCCUGGACA
rnacentral:rRNA from 1 species